rnacentral:rRNA from 1 species
AGAGUUUGAUCCUGGCUCAGGACGAACGUUGGCGGUGCGCUUAAUGCAUGCAAGUCGAGGGAGAAGCAUUUGUUCCGUAAGGUUCAGAUGUGGAAACCGGCGAACGGGUGCGUAACACGUGAGGAACCUGCCCCGAAGACCGGGAUAGCCCGAGGAAACUCGGAUUAAUACCGGAUACCCUCUUUGGACCACAUGGUCCGCUGAGGAAAUGGUCCGCCGCUUCGGGAUGGCCUCGCGGCCUAUCAGCUUGUUGGUGAGGUAACGGCUCACCAAGGCAAAGACGGGUAGCUGGUCUGAGAGGACGAUCAGCCACACUGGGACUGAGACACGGCCCAGACUCCUACGGGAGGCAGCAGCAGGGAAUAUUGCACAAUGGGCGAAAGCCUGAUGCAGCGACACCGCGUGCGGGAUGAAGGCCCUCGGGUUGUAAACCGCUUUCAGGAGGGACGAAAAUGACGGUACCUCCAGAAGAAGGCCCGGCCAACUACGUGCCAGCAGCCGCGGUAAUACGUAGGGGCCAAACGUUGUCCGGAUUUAUUGGGCGUAAAGGGCUCGUAGGCGGUUCAACAAGUCGAUCGUGAAAGCCCGGGGCUCAACCCCGGGACGCCGGUCGAAACUGUUGUGACUAGGGUCCGGUAGAGGUGAGUGGAAUUCUCGGUGUAGCGGUGGAAUGCGCAGAUAUCGAGAGGAACACCAGUU